GAUGAAGAACGCAGCGAAAUGCGAUACGUAAUGUGAAUUGCAAAUUCAGUGAAUCAUCGAGUCUUUGAACGCACAUUGCGCCCCCUGGUAUUCCGGGGGGCAUGCCUGUCCGAGCGUCAUUGCUGCCCUCAAGCACGGCUUGUGUGUUGGGCCCCGUCCUCCGAUCCCGGGGGACGGGCCCGAAAGGCAGCGGCGGCACCGCGUCCGGUCCUCGAGCGUAUGGGGCUUUGUCACCCGCUCUGUAGGCCCGGCCGGCGCUUGCCGAUCAACCCAAAUUUUUAUCCAGGUAGACCUCGGAUCAGGUAGGGAUACCCGCUGAACUUAAGCAUAUCAAUAAGCGGAGGA
rnacentral:misc_RNA from 1 species